rnacentral:rRNA from 1 species
CAGUCGCCGCGGUAAUACGUAGGGUGCAAGCGUUAAUCGGAAUUACUGGGCGUAAAGCGUGCGCAGGCGGUUAUAUAAGUCAGAUGUGAAAUCCCCGGGCUCAACCUGGGAACUGCAUUUGAGACUGUAUGGCUAGAGUGUGUCAGAGGGGGGUAGAAUUCCACGUGUAGCAGUGAAAUGCGUAGAUAUGUGGAGGAAUACCGAUGGCGAAGGCAGCCCCCUGGGAUAACACUGACGCUCAUGCACGAAAGCGUGGGGAGCAAACAGGAUUAGAUACCCCCGUAGUCCCUGUCUCUUAUAU